rnacentral:rRNA from 1 species
AUACGGAGGGUGCAAGCGUUACUCGGAAUCACUGGGCGUAAAGGGCGCGCAGGCGGUUUGGUAAGUCAGAUGUGAAAGCCCACGGCUCAACCGUGGAAGUGCAUUUGAAACUGUCAGACUUGAGUACUGGAGGGGAAAGUGGAAUUCCCGGUGUAGAGGUGAAAUUCGCAGAUAUCGGGAGGAAUACCGGUGGCGAAGGCGACUUUCUGGCUAGAUACUGACGCUGAGGCGCGAAAGCGUGGGGAGCAAACAGGAUUAGAAACCCCAGUAGUCC